rnacentral:rRNA from 1 species
AUGAACGCUGGCGGCGUGCCUCAUACAUGCAAGUCGAGCGAACAGACGAGGAGCUUGCUCCUCUGACGUUAGCGGCGGACGGGUGAGUAACACGUGGAUAACCUACCUAUAAGACUGGGAUAACUUCGGGAAACCGGAGCUAAUACCGGAUAAUAUAUUGAACCGCAUGGUUCAAUAGUGAAAGACGGUUUUGCUUUCACUUAUAGAUGGAUCCGCGCCGCAUUAGCUAGUUGGUAAGGUAACGGCUUACCAAGGCAACGAUGCGUAGCCGACCUGAGAGGGUGAUCGGCCCCACUGGAACUGAGACACGGUCCAGACUCCUACGGGAGGCAGCAGUAGGGAAUCUUCCGCAAUGGGCGAAAGCCUGACGGAGCAACGCCGCGUGAGUGAUGAAGGUCUUCGGAUCGUAAAACUCUGUUAUUAGGGAAGAACAAAUGUGUAAGUAACUAUGCACGUCUUGACGGUACCUAAUCAGAAAGCCACGGCUAACUACGUG